AGCUAUGCACAAGAAUAACAUAUUUGCAGCAAUGAUUAAACAAUAAUAUUGAGAGUGAAAGUGUGGAUGACUUACCUACGGCGAGGAGGUUUUCGCCGGAUUAUUGUUGAAGGAUCCUUUGAUGAAGAUGAUACCACCUUUUUGGAUAUUAGGGAGACUUGAAGAUGGACUUCAAGUUGGAACUCUCCACCAAGGUAUGAAGAAUUUCUUCUUCACUCCCCUUCAAGAACUAUGUAGCUAGAAACUCUUAUGUUUUUUUCAAGUAGUUUUCUUUGAUUUGAAGAAUUUCUCCUUCUCACAAAGAAACAUGAAAACUAUAAGAGAAGAGGAAGAAGUGAGAAAGCUAGUAGUAUAGUAGCUUUGGUGUGUUUUGCAAUGAAGUGAGGCCUUCUAUUUAUAGGAAAAGUUAAGGAAGUGUUUGGCAUUUGGUAAACUUGAAUGGCAAGUUUCAAUCAUUGCAAGAUAAGAAAAAGAAUAAGAAUAUUCUUUAUGAGAUUUUUCUCUUGCAAGUGGACAUGAAAUAUCUUUGAUUCCUUUUUGAAUUAUUUCUUUUUUUUGAAUUAUUUCCUUUGUUGGAUUUUUGCUAAUCCCACCCCUUUUUGUCUUGAAUUAUUCUUUUGCUAAAUUCACCCCUCUUAUGUUUCUUUUUCAUGUUGCAUGAGGACUUUGAAGAAAGCAUGAAGAAGCUUGAACUUGAAGGAUGAAGACUUUGAAGAUUGAAGAAUUCAAGAAAGCAUUGCAUUUUCUUUUAUUCUUUGUAAUCCAAAUUUAUUCCACUUUAGAAUUGUAUGAACUUGUAUUCUUGAAAGUGAAUAGAAUUUUGGAAUGAUGUAAUUCUUGAAUUUUGGAUUCAUUUGUUCCAUGUAAAGAAACAUCAUUUGUAAAUGCUUGAAUUUCUCUUAGAA